rnacentral:rRNA from 1 species
GUCCACGCCCUAAACGAUGUCAACUGGUUGUUGGGAAUUCACUUUCUCAGUAACGAAGCUAACGCGUGAAGUUGACCGCCUGGGGAGUACGGCCGCAAGGUUAAAACUCAAAGGAAUUGACGGGGACCCGCACAAGCGGUGGAUGAUGUGGUUUAAUUCGAUGCAACGCGAAGAACCUUACCAGGUUUUGACAUAGGAGUGACCGGAUCAGAGAUGUUCCUUUUCUUCGGAACACUCCAUACAGGUGGUGCAUGGUUGUCGU